CUCCUUUUCUGCAUUGCAGGGGCGCUCUUUGCUUUUCAUACCUCUAUGUUGCCUUUUUGCAUUGCAGGGGCGCUCUUUGCUUUUCAUACCUCUACAUUCCCUUUCUGCAUUGCAGGGGCAGUCUUUGAUUUUCAUACUUCUAUAUUUCCUUUCUGCAUUGCAGGGGCGCUCUUUGCUUUUCAUACCUCUAUAUUGCCUUUCUGCAUUGCAGGGAUGCUCUUUACUUUUCAUACCUCUAUGUACUAUUUCAGCCUUGCAGGGGCACUCUUUGCUUUUCAUAUCUCUACGUUGCUUUUCUGCUUUGCAGAGGCGCUCCUUACUUUUCAUACUUCUACUGUUCCAUUUUUGCAUUGCAGGUGCGCUCUUUGCUUUUCAUACCUCUAUCCUCCAUUUCUGCAUUGCAGGGGCGCUCUUUGCUUUUCUUACCUCUAUGUUCCUUUUCUGCAUUGCAGGGGCGCUCUUUGCUUUUCUUAUCUCUACGUUGCUUUUCUGCAUUGCACAGGCGCUCUUUACUUUUCAUACUUCUAAUGUUCCAUUUCUGCAUUGCAGGGGCGCUCUUUGCUUUUCAUACCUCUAUGCUCCUUUUCUGCAUUGCAGGGGCGCUCUUUGCUUUUCAUACAUCUAUGUUUCCUUUCUGCAUUGAAGGGGCGCUCUUUGCUUUUCAUACCUCUAUGUUCUUCCUAUCUCUCCCUUUCCCCCUUCCGCCUCCGCUCUCUUCUCCCAUUGGUUGUUGCUUGGGAGAUCCCGCCCCUUUCCCCUUCCUUCGCUCCCUCAUUGGUCGAAGCGCGUCCUGGCAGAUAUGUAGUGCGGGGGCGUUUUCCAUCGUAGCCGCAAUAAUACAAAAUAAAUAAUAAUAUAAUAUCAGAGAUAUAUGGUAUUCGAGCUUAUUAAUAAUCGUUACGUAUUAUUAUGUUGUUUGAAUAUUAGGUGUAUGGAUGUGUCAGGAUUGGCGACGGAAGGGACGGGUUGUGUGAUGGACCUGCCAGGACUUGGGGGCGGGGCAAGGGGCGUGGCCUGGCGCGUGAGGGCCGGGGAAGGGAACAGCCAAGAUGGCGGCCGGGGUGAGGCGAGCGAAGCGCCGCUGAGGAGAACAAAUUCGGCCGGUGAUCUAAAAAAUCCGAAACUUGGGAGGAGUAGUCCCCUGGCCCGUGGGCGGAUCGUGACAAAAUUGAUGGCAUUGGUGACAAGUAUUAUUACUACUACUAACAGCAACAACAACAACAAUAAUCAUAUCCCGGGAGUUAACGUUUUGCCUGUCGCCUCUUCUACCCACGAAUGCUGGAACCUCAUCAUUGGAAGUAGUCGAAUUGGAAUCUGUGGGUCCUAUACCGCAAAGAACACCUUGCUGACCCAAAGCGACAGGCAAAAUAAUUAUUACAUGUUCCAGAAGCAUUCUCUCCUGACGUUUCACCCAUACCUAUGGCAGGCAUCCUCUGGCGAGAGAGGGCGGUCUAGAAAUAAAGUUUUAUUAUUAUUUUA